GUCUGGGUGUCAUCAGUGCCUGCUGCACAUCAGCAGCCCCCAGCCCUGCACCCCCCUGCAGCGUGCCUCGUUCUUGUUCUCCAUGCACUCUAAUGGCUGUAUCAAUAUUAUCUCUCCUGCAACUUGCCCUGUGACAGAGAUAUUAAUGACACAGCACAACGCCAGGGAAGGACACGCAGGGCUUCCGGCAGCAGAACCGGCAGCAUCGCCUCGCUCAGCACCACAGGACCUAACACUGGAGGCUCGCAUCUGGCAGCCAGAGCAAGAAACAAUUCCAGUCUACAGGCGCCCAGCAGAGAUGCUCACCCACACUGCCACUGCCACCCCCAUCCAUCGCCAUCCCAGACAGACCUCGCUGUCUCUGCAGAGCCCCAUUGCUACACUGGGAGCGGGUGGGCAGCACCACCAGCAAAGGGACCCUGCACCCUCCCAGCACCCCAAGGAUCCCACUGGCUCCUCAUGCACUGAGCCUGAGCCAGACGACCAUGGUGAGGAGAAGCAUGUCCUGCUUGGAAAAUAAACCAUCAUUAAAACA